rnacentral:lncRNA from 10 species
CCUAGAUCACUAAUUAGCUAUGGCAUCCUUUGACUGCUGAGCCUGAAUACAUUCUCAGAAGCCUUCUCAAUACAUCACUGGAACAGCCUCUACUAAUAGUGCCACUUAUUCAUCUGAAGAAGCAAAAGGAAAUGCUUUCAACCCAGAUCCCAGACACAGAGAGGAGCCCAGGUUUAAAAGCUCCUCCCUGCCAAGGACAGAGUGCCACUCAACUCCAUCUUUGCCCAUAAGUCUCCCUGGGGGACGUCUGGCAAUAGCUAGAGACAUUUGGGGAUGUCAAAACUAGGAAGGACGCUACUGCAUCAGGAAAAGAAGCAAGGGAAGAGUGAAAACACUGGCUUGGAAUGAGCUCUGAUCAUGUCUACUCUCUCCUACUCCUACUUUUUCUUGGAGCUACAAAGAUAAAUUGUUUGAGUCUUUAGGAGAGCCUAACUCCUUAUUCAAGUAUUUCCUUGCUCCUGGAUGUGGAAAAAUUGCUUAAAUAAAAACUACUCAAAAGAAAAAAAAACUACCCAAAGAAGUUAUUAAGUAUUACAAAAGAAAAAUGAAGGCAUUGAUGAAACCUACUAGAGAUUAUUUGGGGGACAGCCAAAUGUCAGAGGCCUGUGAAAUAACACGAAGUGGUGUACUGAAAAUGUAUUCAUACGUCAAUUCUUGCCACAUAAGGUUUGCCUGGAGGCCCCAAAGCAAGCAACAUGGCUCAUCUAAGUAAAGAGCCAGCCAAGAUAAUCUAAUGACCUAAGAAUCUAAUGACACUAUACACUGUCUCUGAUCCUGCUUGGUUUUAUUUUAACAGACCGAUUUUUAUUGCUUCUUUUCUGUGAGUGUCUGCAAUGAUUCCCUGCCACUGCUUACUGAAAUAUUUUCUUAAAUUAUGAGUUGAGUUUUUUAAAACGCAGUAUUAAAAAUAUUCAUUCAGCAUGUUAUUAAUUACUAGUAUGAAUUGUUGGCAGGAUUGGACUAUAGAGGAGUAAUUGCUUUAACCACAUUAUCUA